AAUGAGGUAAGCAAAGUUUAAGCUAUUAGGGUCAUACCCUGAAAAUACUUUUGUUCUUAUUA
rnacentral:tRNA from 1 species